GUCUCUGUAGCUCAACGGUAGAGCAUGCAACUCUGAAUUUCAACAGAUUUCAUCAUUCCGCACAGAUGAGGGUUCGAAUCCCUCCAGAGAGA